AGUAGGGGGAGGCUGCAGACCUGGAGAAGGUAGAUCUACGCCCCUGACAGUUUUACGCCCCUGACAGUUUUGCGCCCCUGUUGUUCCUCAUGCGUCCAGUAGGGGGAGGCUGUAUUUUAGAAUAUGAGCCUAGUCAUAUAUCAGAACAGGAGACAGUAUGAUUAGCAGACCUUGAAGCGAUACGAAUUGAGGAGUAUUGCGCAUCGUCUUGACCCUGGAGAGUGGACAGAAGUCACAGGAUUGGAUAUUGGGGUCUUUCCUCAGCAGACCAACAGCAUUGAUUGUGGUGUUUUCAUGCUCAUGUAGGAGCAAAUUGAUGUUAUUUACACUCACCUGACUUCAAUUCUGGACAGCACACCCACACACACCCACAGUGACCAGAUUUGAUUCAUUAUGGAUGUCCCUUUUCCAGAGUCCAUCAUCUGUGCUCUUGCUGUUGUGGAACAUGUGUCCAUCUUGGAGGCUGAGGAGAAAUUCCUGGGAGGACCUGUCAUUGACACAAAAUACUUGAGCGGGAGCACUUUGACAGCAGGAUAAAAAAACAGUAAAAGAAGAGUGGAAAACCAUAGGAGAGUGAUGGUGUUAAUAAAAAAAAUUGUGAACCACAA